CACACGACUCUCGGCAACGGAUAUCUCGGCUCUCGCAUCGAUGAAGAACGUAGCGAAAUGCGAUACCUGGUGUGAAUUGCAGAAUCCCGCGAACCAUCGAGUCUCUGAACGCAAGUUGCGCCCGAGGCCACUCGGCCGAGGGCACGCCUGCCUGGGCGUCACGC
rnacentral:rRNA from 1 species